CUGAGUUCUGGGUCUAACCGGCCCGACCUCCAACCCUUUGUUGUAUGACUCUGUUGCCUCGGGGGUCACCCUGACCUCGGUCUUCGUGCCCCCGGCGGACAAUUCAAACUCUGCUUUAAUUUGUCGUCUGAGUAACUUGAUUAAAUCAUAUCA
rnacentral:misc_RNA from 1 species